ACACCGAUCCUCCAACCCCUCCUGACACGGUAGAUGCCGUUCUUUGCGGCCGCCCAUCAACCCAAGCGGAGAAAGAGAAUCGGGGCCUACCCCACGCUGACACACACAGGCCUGGAGGCGAUCCUGAGCGGCACGGUGGCAAGGCAAGUGUGGGACUGGGCGACCCCCAAGACGACCGAUACACCGGCACACAUGCCAGCUAUGGGCCGCCGCUCCUAACGACCGCAACACACAGCAGACAGCAGGGAUAUCGGGGCCAUGCUUCAGAGGCCUAUGCAGGCCAAAACCGCCCCUGCCGAACCCCCGAGCCCCG